ensembl:lncRNA
GGGGGGCCGCGCGGCCCGAGUCGGGAGCGGGCGUUGCGCGCGCAGCCGGCGCUCGUUCUCGGCUGCCGCCGCCCAACGAACCGAACCGAACCGGUCUGCGGGCGGCUCCACAGGUUCCUCGUAUCAUCUUCUCCGCGCUCCCAAUUAGAGCCCCCGCCCACCUGCUACCGUCAAUCAGCCGCACUCUUAGGAAGGAGGCUUUGAGCGGCGGCCGACGAGCGGUUCUUGACGCUCCUCCCCGGGUGGUACCGCGGUCGCUUCAGACCCUGCGGACCGUGGUGAGGCCUAGCCUUUGCCUAACCCCGGGAGUGUCCCUAAGAAGCAGCUGGGGGACGUGGGCAGUUACCCCAGCUGGGCUGCCAGAACGCAACGAAAUUGCACUUUGUGGCCAAACCUCAAUCAAUUAGAUGCCUAGUGCUGCAGCGAAAGGAAUAGCAUCGUGAUUUAUUUUUUGCUUUUUGUAAUGUGCCUACAUAUAGCCAUGAAAAUGGUUAUGCUAAAUUGGCCACUGAAGGCGAAGAGGUAAUGUUUUAUCUGAGCCAAAGGAAUGUGUCAGAGACAUUAAAUCCUGAUACACCCCCUUCUGUUUUGACUGCACACAAACGCAUUGUGACAUAUUUUUAAUAAAUACAAUUACUUUUUUCAAGAGCAUGGAUCAUCUUUGCUGCUGUUUAUAGUAGCUCCUAAAGAAUGUAAGAUUAUUACAACCAGAUAGGGAAAUAAAUUGACGGCUGUGAGGGUUUUGUUUUGUUUUCUUACCGUCAUGUUUAAACAAAAUUAAGCAGAUGUGAAGGCGUUCAAAAAGUAAUCCCAGAGCAUCCCUAUGGUGUGAGAAAAUGGAAAUUUUCCAUCAUUUUCAGUCCCCUGGUUCAAGGUCCAAAUCUUGGAGAGAGCUCAAGAGUGACUCGUUGGAUGACAGAGAAGUCUUCAUGGUGCUGUGCUGGCAGAACUUGCUGGAAAUCCAUCCUCUAGGGUGCUAAGGAAAGUUAUUCACAGGGAGAUGUCUCACCGGAGACACUGCACUAUGAAACAGCCUGGAGAGGUGCCACCUACUGGCCACUGGGUGCUGGUGGUCAGUGGGUGCUACAGAAGCCAUGCGUCAGAGAAGCCACCCAAGGGGAUUUAAUGUUGGUAUUUGUGUUGGCAGAUUCGGCACUCAGCAGAAGCAUUAGCCAAGUCAGCCUUAGUAAGCAUGUGUGUGUUGUUAAGCCCAUGCAUAGUCUCCAUCCCAGCCACCACAGCCACUUUGUUCAGAGGUUCAUUGAGUAAACACUGGGGUGGCUAGGCAAAGUGACUGACAUCUCAAAAAGCAUCAUUUUGUCCACCUGAUAAUUAAGAGCCUCCUCUGCCGUAGAUGUCCUUCAGUGGGCUUUCAUGUGGAACACAAAUAUCUUCAGAGUUUGUGCCCGUUCAGAGAGGUCCAUCCACAUACUUCUUCCCAAAACUUCCUUGUGAUCAAUUGUUGAAUCCUGUUUCUUCCAAGUCCCUAGCCCACCAGCCCAACAAAUAGCAACUGCCCAUGAAGCAGUGUAGAUCCAUACUUCUGGCCAUCUCUCACUCUAGAUAUGAACAACCAAAUCUAUUGUCCAAAGUUCUGCCCACUGGAAGGAGAUUCCUUCACUCUGGUCCUUCAGGGUCAUCCCUGAGUGGGGCUGUAAUGCUGCAGCUAUCUACUUUUGGAUGGUGCCAGCUUAUUGUACAGACCCCUCUGUAAACCAAGUUUGAUUUUUUUCUUCCUCAGACCAAUUGUCAAUAUAUGCAACGUCCCAAAAAUAUCUGGGUAUUUUCUAUAACGCUUUCAGUCUUCCUCCUGUAGGUGGGAAUCUUCAGUUUGCCAAAGGACUCUGGAUCUAUAAUUCCUCCCUGAGAAACUGAGGCUUUCCCCUGGCCUUAGUGUUAAGUCUCUGCAGAUUCAACAAGCUUUAAUUCUGGGCCACUGGUAAAAAUACUUUUAUAACUUCCUUUUGCAUUGUUUGAGAUUCAAAGUGACAAGCUUAUACCUUGACUGUUUAUAAAGAAAUGCAUCUUAAAAAGUUAAGGAAACGGGAUUCUUAAAUAAGAGGGAUUUCAACCAAAGGAGUAGUAUAUGUUACUCAGUGAGACAUUAAAAUAUCUUACAGGAAAAGACUCAGUGACUCCAGCCUGCCUUGCUUAUGAACAAUGGUCACAAUGUGCUAGUAUAUUAUUCCCAUAAGAAGUAGAAAAUUGCUACUUGGCUAGGGCCAGACAUUUCAGGCCCUAUUUGGGGAUUUUCACAAGAAUCCUUCAUCACAUAGGACAGCAUAGAAGGAAUACUUCUUUCCUUUGGGAAUUCAUUUCUCCUGCCCCCUGUGGUAGGCAGGCCCCCCCAAGGAUAUCCACAUUCUAACCCCUAAAGCCUGUGAAUAUAUUACCAUACUUGACAAAGAGACUGUAGAUUUGAUUAAAUUAAGGGCCUUGAGAUAAGAAAGUUAUUCUAGAUUAUCUGGGUUAUUCUGAAUUAUCUGGGCCCAAUCUAAUCACGCAAGACCUUAAAAGCAGAGAGCCCUUCCUGGCUGUGGUCAGGGGAAGACGUGCCUACCGAAGACAGAGCAGAGAUGCAACAUUGCUAGCUUUGAAGGUGGAAAAGGGUAGCUGUGAGCCAACGAAUGUGGUGGCCUCUAGAAACUGAAAAAGGCAGGAAAAGGGGUUCUAGAGCCUCUGGAAAGGAAUGCAGCACUGUCAAAAUCUUAAUUUUAGCCCAGUAAGACCUGUGUCAGACUUCUAAUCUAUAGAACUAUGAG